UACGGGGGGGGCAAGCGUUGUUCGGAAUUACUGGGCGUAAAGGGCUCGUAGGCGGCCAACUAAGUCAGACGUGAAAUCCCCAGGCUCAACCUGGGAACUGCGUCUGAUACUGGUUGGCUUGAAUCCGGGAGAGGGAUGCAGAAUUCCAGGUGUAGCGGUGAAAUGCGUAGAUAUCUGGAGGAAUACCGGUGGCGAAGGCGGCAUCCUGGACCGGCAUUGACGCUGAGGCACGAAAGCGUGGGGAGCAAACAGG
rnacentral:rRNA from 1 species